ensembl:lncRNA
AAUAUAAUAUUUCUCCAAGGGAAACCUCUCUGUUAGAAGCAGUUACAGUAAGAGGAAGAGACCGCUGCGCUGACUGGGUCAUAGUGACUGAGUGCAGCCGGCUACUGACAGAGACGAGGCUCCGCAGGCUUUUCCCUCUCCCCACACAGAGCAGGGAUCCUUACAUGUGGAGAGUAAUGGUGUAGGCCUGUGAAGACAAGAGAUUCUACUUCACACUGAUUCUACACAAGGAUUCUCACGGCAAACAGCGCUGCCUGGACUGGUUCACAGUCUCGGGGCAAAAGAGAACCAAGUAUAAAACCAAGAUUUUUAUAUUUAAGACAAAAAGGAGACACCAAAUAGAUUUAAAGCAUUUAAAAAAAAAAAAAAAACACAAAUCUAUAUGAUGCCCGUGCGGCAGGACGUUGCUGUGAUACGGCCGGUGACGUGGAGCUUCAGCCUCUUCGUCAUGUUUAUCUCUCGCCAGAGGAGACGCAGAGAUGAGGUGCCCCGCGUCAGUCAUUACCCUAGGUCCACUGCUGCAUGCUUAAAUGGCACGCCGUGCGUCAACAGGGCCAUCAACACACACACACACACACACACACACACACACACACAGUCAAGAUGCAUUCACCCCUCACCGUCACAGAGAUUUAAUGGCCACUGGGCGUUUGCAGCAGUGCUAAGAUUUACGCACAUGCAGACGUGUCUCUCGUUUAAUCAUCCCUCUUUCAUUUGCCUCCCCCCUCCUUCCUCCUCGUGCCAUCUUUCCUCCCCAGCUCUGAGAUGAGACACAGCACCUCAGUGGGCAGUGGGCAGUGAGCAGUGAGCAGUGGGCAGUGACACAGCACCUCAGUGAGCAGUGAGCUCUGCUCACUUGUGUGAGUGACUGAGGCUCUGACGUUUGCAGAACAGCUGAUAUACACAGGAAGCAUUACACCUGACAGGGUGCAACAAAAAACUCAAACAAUAAUAGGCAGGAAAGAAAGUAAAUGCAGAAAGAAAUACAGAACAAAAUGCAGGAAGAAAUGCAAAAGGAAAGAAA